AUUGAACGCUGGCGGCAUGCCUUACACAUGCAAGUCGAACGGUAACGGGCCUUCGGGUGCCGACGAGUGGCGAACGGGUGAGUAAUGCAUCGGAACGUACCUUUCAGUGGGGGAUAACGUAGCGAAAGUUACGCUAAUACCGCAUAUUCUGUGAGCAGGAAAGCAGGGGAUCGCAAGACCUUGUGCUGAUUGAGCGGCCGAUGUCAGAUUAGCUAGUUGGUGAGGUAAAGGCUCACCAAGGCGACGAUCUGUAGCGGGUCUGAGAGGAUGAUCCGCCACACUGGAACUGAGACACGGUCCAGACUCCUACGGGAGGCAGCAGUGGGGAAUUUUGGACAAUGGGGGCAACCCUGAUCCAGCCAUGCCGCGUGAGUGAAGAAGGCCCUCGGGUUGUAAAGCUCUUUCGGCCGGGAAGAAAUCGUAUGGGCUAAUACCCUGUGCGGAUGACGGUACCGGCAUAAGAAGCACCGGCUAACUACGUGCCAGCCGCCGCGGUAAAAC
rnacentral:rRNA from 1 species